rnacentral:rRNA from 1 species
GACGAACGCUGGCGGCGUGCUUAACACAUGCAAGUCGAACGAAGAGCGAUGGAAGCUUGCUUCUAUCAAUCUUAGUGGCGAACGGGUGAGUAACGCGUAAUCAACCUGCCCUUCAGAGGGGGACAACAGUUGGAAACGACUGCUAAUACCGCAUACGAUCUGACCUCGGCAUCGAGGAUAGAUGAAAGGUGGCCUCUAUUUAUAAGCUAUCACUGAAGGAGGGGAUUGCGUCUGAUUAGCUAGUUGGAGGGGUAACGGCCCACCAAGGCGAUGAUCAGUAGCCGGUCUGAGAGGAUGAACGGCCACAUUGGGACUGAGACACGGCCCAGACUCCUACGGGAGGCAGCAGUGGGGAAUCUUCCGCAAUGGACGAAAGUCUGACGGAGCAACGCCGCGUGAGGGAUGACGGCCUUCGGGUUGUAAAGCUCUGUUAAUCGGGACGAAAGGCCUUCUUGCGAAUAGUUAGAAGGAUUGACGGUACCGGAAUAGAAAGCCACGGCUAACUACGUG